ACCACGCAGAACCAUGAGUUAAUUAAACUUCUUUUCUUCAUAAAUUACCCAGUCUCAUGUUAUUUCUUCAUAGCAGCAUGAGAAUGGACUAAUACAGGAGUUUGUCCUCAGGUGUCGCUCUUCCUUCCAACCUCUCCAGGAGCAGCAUUCAGGACAUCUGCCCUUUCCAGGAAUAUAAUCCAAAGCCUUCCUUUUGUGAGCUCAUUUCAAAUGUGCUCCUUGCCACACUGAAGCUGUGGUGGCUUUCUGCCCGGUUUGAACCUCCCUUUGCUGUUGUCCCUCCCUUGCCCAAGCACCCGCACCCCACCAUACUGAAGAUUUGGUGGUCAAGACUCCUGUGUUUUGUUUUUUUUUUUUUGAGACAAGAGUCUUGCUCUGUUGCCCAGGCUGGAGUGCAGUGGUGCGAUCUCGACUCACUGCAAGCUCCGCAUCCUGGGUUCACGCCAUUCUCCCGCCUCAGCCUCCUGAGUAGCUGGGACUACAGGCACCUGCCACCAUGCCGGGGUUUUUUUUUUUUUUUUUCUGUAUUUUUAGUAGAGACAGGGUUUCACCGUGUUAGCCAGGAUGGUCUCCAUCUCCUGACCUCGUGGUCCGCCUGUCUCGGCCUCCCAAAGUGUUGGGAUUACAGGCGUGAGCCACCGCGCCUGGCCAAGACUUCUUUAUUUAUUUAUUUUUUGAGACAGUCUCGCUCUGUCGCCCAGGCUGGAGUACAAUGGUGCAAUCUCAGCUGGCUGCAACCUCCGUCUUCUGGGUUCAAGCGAUUCUCCGGCCUCAGCCUCCCAAGUAGAUGGGAUUACAAGCAUGCACCACCGCGCCCAGCUAAUUUUUGUAUUUUUAGUAGAGAUGGACUUUUGCUAUGUUGGCCAGGCUGAUCUCAAACUCCUAGUCUCAAGUGAUCCAACUGCCUUGGCCUCCCAAAGUGCUCUCCAUCCUGGCUCCUCCACCUCUUGCCAGGCACCCUCCCUACAGAGCUAGUGCCUCAUCCUUCCAUGACCUCCUGCCCACAUAUGCUCUUUCAAUCUAAGGUUUCUGCAAAAACUUUCAGGAAGGAUCACAUCUCCCAGAAUUGCCUUCAUAAGAACUUUUUUUUAAUUAUUUAGAAAUGCAGUUAUAUACAUAGAACAAUUAAAAUUAAAUUAAAC
rnacentral:lncRNA from 1 species